rnacentral:rRNA from 1 species
UACGAAGGGGGCUAGCGUUGUUCGGAAUUACUGGGCGUAAAGCGCACGUAGGCGGACAUUUAAGUCAGGGGUGAAAUCCCAGAGCUCAACUCUGGAACUGCCUUUGAUACUGGGUGUCUUGAGUAUGGAAGAGGUGAGUGGAAUUCCGAGUGUAGAGGUGAAAUUCGUAGAUAUUCGGAGGAACACCAGUGGCGAAGGCGGCUCACUGGCCCAUAACUGACGCUGAGGCACGAAAGCGUGGGGAGCAAACAGG